GAGUCACGUAGCAAUACGUGGCAUACGGCUCAGUAACACGUAGUCAACAUGCCCAGGGGACGUGGAUAACCUCGGGAAACUGAGGAUAAACCGCGAUAGGUCAUAAUAUCUGGAAUGAUUUCUGGCUAAAAUCUAUAUGGCCCCUGGAUUGGACUGCGGCCGAUCAGGCUGUUGGUGAGGUAAUGGCCCACCAAACCUAAAACCGGUACGGGCUCUGAGAGGAGAAGCCCGGAGAUGGGCACUGAGACAAGGGCCCAGGCCCUAUGGGGCGCAGCAGGCGCGAAAACUCUGCAAUAAGCGAAAGCUUGACAGGGUUAUUCUGAGUGAUCUCCGCUAAGGAAAUCUUUUGGCACCUCUAAAAAUGGUGCAGAAUAAGGGGUGGGCAAGCCUGGUGUCAGCCGCCGCGGUAAUACCAGCACCCCGAGUGGUCGGGACGAUUAUUGGGCCUAAAGCAUCCGUAGCCGGUUCUACAAGUCUUCCGUUAAAUCCACCUGCUUAACAGAUGGGCUGCGGAGGAUACUAUUGAGCUAGGAGGCGGGAGAGGCAAGCGGUACUUAGUGGGUAGGGGUAAAAUCCGUUGAUCCAUUGAAGACCACCAGUGGCGAAGGCGGCUUGCCAGAACGCACUCGACGGUGAGGGAUGAAAGCUGGGGGAGCAAACCGGAUUAGAUACCCGGGUAGUCCCAGCUGUAAACGAUGCAGACUCGGUGAUGAAUAGGCUUCGUGCCUCUUCAGUGCCGCAGGGAAGCCGUUAAGUCUGCCGCCUGGGGAGUACGGUCG
rnacentral:rRNA from 1 species